GACGAACGCUGGCGGCGUGCUUAACACAUGCAAGUCGAACGGAAAGGCCCUGCUUUUGUGGGGUGCUCGAGUGGCGAACGGGUGAGUAACACGUGAGUAACCUGCCCUUGACUUUGGGAUAACUUCAGGAAACUGGGGCUAAUACCGGAUAGGAGCUCCUGCUGCAUGGUGGGGGUUGGAAAGUUUCGGCGGUUGGGGAUGGACUCGCGGCUUAUCAGCUUGUUGGUGGGGUAGUGGCUUACCAAGGCUUUGACGGGUAGCCGGCCUGAGAGGGUGACCGGCCACAUUGGGACUGAGCUACCGCCCAGACUCCUACGGGAGGCAGCAGUGGCGACUAUUGCACAAUGGGCGGAAGCCUGAUGCAGCAACGCCGCGUGCGGGAUGACGGCCUUCGGGUUGUAAACCGCUUUCGCCUGUGACGAAGCGUGAGUGACGGUAAUGGGUAAAGAAGCACCGGCUAACUACGUG
rnacentral:rRNA from 1 species